rnacentral:rRNA from 1 species
UGGCGAACGGGUGAGUAACACGUGGGUGAUCUGCCCUGCACUUCGGGAUCAGCCUGGGAAACUGGGUCUAAUACCGGAUAGGACCACAUUUUGGAUGGUGUGGUGGAAAGUUUUUCGGUGUGGGAUGAGCUCGCGGCCUAUCAGCUUGUUGGUGGGGUAAUGGCCUACCAAGGCGUCGACGGGUAGCCGGCCUGAGAGGGUGUACGGCCACAUUGGGACUGAGAUACGGCCCAG